rnacentral:rRNA from 1 species
GAUAGUGGCGGACGGGUGAGUAACGCGUGGGUAACCUGCCCUUAAGAGGGGGAUAACACCGCGAAAGUGGUGCUAAUACCGCAUGAAGUCAUAAUACUGCCUGGUAGAAUGACCAAAGGAGUAAUCCGCUUAAGGAUGGACCCGCGUCUGAUUAGCUAGUUGGUGGGGUAACGGCCUACCAAGGCGACGAUCAGUAGCCGGCCUGAGAGGGUGAUCGGCCACACUGGGACUGAGACACGGCCCAGACUCCUACGGGAGGCAGCAGUGGGGAAUCUUCCGCAAUGGACGAAAGUCUGACGGAGCAACGCCGCGUGAGUGAGGAAGGCCUUCGGGUUGUAAAACUCUGUCUUCAGGGAAGAAAAAAAUGACGGUACCUGAGGAGGAAGCCACGGCUAACUACGUGCCAGCAGCCGCGGUAAUACGUAGGUGGCAAGCGUUAUCCGGAAUUAUUGGGCGUAAAGAGCAUGUAGGCGGGAAUUUAAGUCAGAUGUGAAAACUUGGGGCUCAACCUCAAGAUUGCAUCUGAAACUGAAUUUCUUGAGGGUAUGAGAGGAAAGCGGAAUUCCUAGUGUAGCGGUGAAAUGCGUAGAUAUUAGGAGGAACACCAGUGGCGAAAGCGGCUUUCCGGCAUACAACUGACGCUGAGAUGCGAAAGCGUGGGGAGCAAACAGGAUUAGAUACCCUGGUAGUCCACGCCGUAAACGAUGGGUACUAGGUGUAGGAGGUAUCGACCCCUUCUGUGCCGCAGUUAACACAUUAAGUACCCCGCCUGGGGAGUACGGCCGCAAGGUUGAAACUCAGAGGAAUUGACGGGGGCCCGCACAAGCGGUGGAGCAUGUGGUUUAAUUCGACGCAACGCGAAGAACCUUACCAGGGCUUGACAUCGAGUGAAAAGUCUAGAGAUAGACUCCUCCCUUCGGGGACACGAAGACAGGUGGUGCAUGGUUGUCGUCAGCUCGUGUCGUGAGAUGUAGGGUUAAGUCCCGCAACGAGCGCAACCCUUAUCCUUAGUUGCCAGCGAGUAGAGUCGGGCACUCUAGGGAGACUGCCGGUGACAAACCGGAGGAAGGUGGGGAUGACGUCAAAUCAUCAUGCCCCUUAUGUCCUGGGCUACACACGUGCUACAAUGGACGGUACAGAGGGAAGCUAAGCCGUGAGGUGGAGCAAAUCCCACAAAGCCGUUCUCAGUUCGGAUUGUAGUCUGCAACUCGACUACAUGAAGUCGGAAUCGCUAGUAAUCGCAGGUCAGCACACUGCGGUGAAUACGUUCCCGGGCCUUGUACACACCGCCCGUCACACCACGAAAGUCUGCAACACCCGAAGCCGGUGAGCUAACUCGAAAGAGAGGCAGCCGUCUAAGGUGGGGCCGAUGAUUGGGGUGAAGUCGUAACAAGGUAACCGU